ACGAACGCUGGCGGCGUGCUUAACACAUGCAAGUCGAACGGACUAUCUCAUUUCGGUGGGGUGGUUAGUGGCGAACGGGUGAGUAAUACAUCGGAACAUGUCCUGUAGUGGGGGAUAGCCCGGCGAAAGCCGGAUUAAUACCGCAUACGAUCCAUGGAUGAAAGCGGGGGACCUUCGGGCCUCGCGCUAUAGGGUUGGCCGAUGGCUGAUUAGCUAGUUGGUGGGGUAAAGGCCCACCAAGGCGACGAGCAGUAGCUGGUCUGAGAGGACGACCAGCCACACUGGGACUGAGACACGGCCCAGACUCCUACGGGAGGCAGCAGUGGGGAAUUUUGGACAAUGGGCGAAAGCCUGAUCCAGCAAUGCCGCGUGUGUGAAGAAGGCCUUCAGGUUGUAAAGCACUUUUGUCCGGAAAGAAAAGCACUGGGUUAAUACCCUGGUGUUCUGACGGUACCGGAAGAAUAAGCACCGGCUAACUUCGUGCCAGCCGCCGCAGUAA
rnacentral:rRNA from 1 species